GGGCCCGCACAAGCGGUGGAGCAUGUGGUUUAAUUCGAUGAUACGCGAGGAACCUUACCAGGGCUUAAAUGUUAGGUGACAGAUCUAGAAAUAGAUUUUUCUUCGGACACUUAACAAGGUGCUGCAUGGUUGUCGUCAGCUCGUGCCGUGAGGUGUCAGGUUAAGUCCUAUAACGAGCGCAACCCCUGUUGUUAGUUGCCAGCGAGUAAUGUCGGGAACUCUAGCAAGACUGCCAGUGCAAACUGUGAGGAAGGUGGGGAUGACGUCAAAUCAUCACGGCCCUUACGUCCUGGGCUACACACGUGCUACAAUGGUAGGUACAGAGAGCAGCCAAUGCGCGAGCAUGAGCAAAUCCCAUAAACCGUGGCUCAGUUCAGAUCGUAGGCUGCAACUCGCCUACGUG
rnacentral:rRNA from 1 species